rnacentral:rRNA from 2 species
UAGAGUUUGAUCCUGGCUCAGGACGAACGCUGGCGGCGUGCCUAAUACAUGCAAGUCGAACGAAACUUUCUUACACCGAAUGCUUGCAUUCACCGUAAGAAGUUGAGUGGCGGACGGGUGAGUAACACGUGGGUAACCUGCCUAAAAGAAGGGGAUAACACUUGGAAACAGGUGCUAAUACCGUAUAUCUCUAAGGAUCGCAUGAUCCUUAGAUGAAAGAUGGUUCUGCUAUCGCUUUUAGAUGGACCCGCGGCGUAUUAACUAGUUGGUGGGGUAACGGCCUACCAAGGUGAUGAUACGUAGCCGAACUGAGAGGUUGAUCGGCCACAUUGGGACUGAGACACGGCCCAAACUCCUACGGGAGGCAGCAGUAGGGAAUCUUCCACAAUGGACGCAAGUCUGAUGGAGCAACGCCGCGUGAGUGAAGAAGGUCUUCGGAUCGUAAAACUCUGUUGUUAGAGAAGAACACGAGUGAGAGUAACUGUUCAUUCGAUGACGGUAUCUACCAGCAUGCG